GUUUGUAUGGCGAGGGUGCCGCCAGGUGUCAGCUGGUCGACCAGAUGCGGGUAGAGCGUGGCGUGGUUCGGCAGCCAUUGCAGGGA
rnacentral:tRNA from 1 species